rnacentral:piRNA from 1 species
UACAGACAGAUAGAGAAACACGGUGGCACC